UACGUAGGGGGCGAGCGUUGUCCGGAUUUAUUGGGCGUAAAGAGCGUGUAGGCGGUUCGGUAAGUCUGUCGUGAAAUCCUGAGGCUCAACCUCGGGCGUGCGAUGGAUACUGCCGGGCUAGAGGAUGGUAGAGGCGAGUGGAAUUCCCGGUGUAGCAGUGAAAUGCGUAGAGAUCGGGAGGAACAUCAGUUGCGAAGGCGGCUCUCUGGACCAGCACUGACACUGAGGCACGAAAGCGUGGGGAGCAAACAGG
rnacentral:rRNA from 1 species